rnacentral:rRNA from 1 species
UACGAAGGAUGCAAGCGUUAUCCGGAUUCAUUGGGUUUAAAGGGAGCGUAGGUGGCCUUAUAAGUCAGUGGUGAAAUCUCUCGGCUUAACCGAGAAAUUGCCAUUGAUACUGUAGGGCUUGAGUAUAGUUGCCGUUGGCGGAAUAUGACAUGUAGUGGUGAAGUACAUAGAGAUGUCAUAGAACACCGAUUGCGAAGGCAGCUGACGAAACUAUAACUGACACUGAGGCUCGAAAGUGACGGGGAUCAAACAGG